rnacentral:lncRNA from 1 species
AGCUAUCACAAAAGGGUAGAAAGUUGAUAUUUGUGCACAGGCGACAAGGAAUCCAACAUCAAAUAAGUUGGUGAUGAAUGGUGAUGCUCAAUUAUUUCUAUGUGUGCUUGUAGCUAAAAUUCCAAAUAAUUCAGUUGGACUUCGAGCGAUGGUUUGGGAAUUUAAUGUGGCUUGCCUGUUCGAUGUGAGUGCUCUAAGGCCCCAAGCCAUCCUUGCACAAAGAUUGUCGUACUUGUUUAUAGUUUUUGGUUUUUGUGCUUCUAUGAUGACUAAAGACAAGAAAUUAUUUUUUAGAGGUCGAGAUACUUUUUUCUAGGGUAUUAGAGUUGGAAACAUAAAAGAUCCACAAUGAGAACACUAUCAUCGAUUUGAAGGAAAAAUUGGAUCACGCUGAAAAACUUAUUUCUGAUGCUAACGAGAAGCUAAGGAUGAUUGAAGAUAAUCUUGCCUCUUUGAAGAAGGAAAACACAAAACUAACUAUAGAACGAGAAACAUAAGAAAGGGAGGAAGUUUGAGUUGUGUUUAAAAAAAAACAUUUUAACAAGAUUAAAACAAAAUGAUGAAAACAAAACAGAUAAACACGCCCAAUUUAUCCUAGUUCACGAUCAACACAAUAGCUACGGCUAGUCCUUUCAAAUAUGAAGGAUUUAAUCUACUAAUUCACCAACUGAAUCACACUUCCACUAAACAUCUGCUAGUCAAAUUGAAUGUGUUAAAGUAUUCUCAACUUUCUAACUUAGUACGUUCAAGCUAUUGAAGAACGCAACCACUAAUGGGCUAGGUUACAAAAAUGAGAGGUUUAAGGGUUGCUGAAUAACUCUCACAAGAUGGUG